GCUUCCGUAGCUUAAAUAAAGUAUAGGACUGAAGCUCCUAAGAUGGCCCUUAAAAAGACCCGCAAGCA
ensembl:Mt_tRNA